GUAGGUGAACCUGCGGAAGGAUCAUUAAUGAAACUUCAAAGUCGGCUUGUCAUCUGUGCUGGUGGAGACACAUGUGCACGUUGCAAGUCGCAAAUCCCACACACCUGUGCACCUAUGACUCUGAGUACCGCUUUGCAUGGGCCCCUCAAAGGCCCUGGUACUCGAGUACUUUUACACACUCUGGAUGUAAUGGAAUGUCUAUUGUACAAUGUACAACUAAAACAACUUUCAACAACGGAUCUCUUGGCUC
rnacentral:misc_RNA from 1 species